rnacentral:rRNA from 1 species
AGAGUUGAUCCUGGCUCAGGAUGAACGCUAGCUACAGGCUUAACACAUGCAAGUCGAGGGGCAUCAUGAGAUUAGCUUGCUAAUCUUGAUGGCGACCGGCGCACGGGUGAGUAACGCGUAUCCAACCUUCCCCUUAGUAGGGCAUAGCCCGGCGAAAGUCGGAUUAAUACCCUAUGUUGUCAAUAGAGGACAUCUGAAGCUGACUAAAGAUUAAUCGCUAAGGGAUGGGGAUGCGUCUGAUUAGCUUGUUGGCGGGGUAACGGCCCACCAAGGCGACGAUCAGUAGGGGUUCUGAGAGGAAGGUCCCCCACACUGGUACUGAGACACGGACCAGACUCCUACGGGAGGCAGCAGUGAGGAAUAUUGGUCAAUGGGCGUAAGCCUGAACCAGCCAAGUAGCCGUGCAGGAUGACGGCCCUAUGGGUUGUAAACUGCUUUUAUGCGGGGAUAAAGUCACCUACGUGUAGGUGUUUGUAGGUACCGCAUGAAUAAGGACCGGCUAAUUCCGUGCCAGCCGCCGC